rnacentral:rRNA from 1 species
UACGAAGGGGGCUAGCGUUGCUCGGAAUCACUGGGCGUAAAGCGCACGUAGGCGGACUCUUAAGUCGGUGGUGAAAUCCUGGAGCUCAACUCCAGAACUGCCUUCGAUACUGGGAGUCUUGAGUUCGGGAGAGGUGAGUGGAACUGCGAGUGUAGAGGUGAAAUUCGUAGAUAUUCGCAAGAACACCAGUGGCGAAGGCGGCUCACUGGUCCGGUACUGACGCUGAGGUGCGAAAGCGUGGGGAGCAAACAGG